AUUCCUUAAAGUAAUGAGUACGGAAAAUAACUAGCUGGGGUGACGCCUGUCACCUCACUACUCAUGUGAGAAGAUUUUUUUGUGUCGAUAUCGGUUGCUCUUAGGAGGAUCCACCUACUUUGUGGGACCUUUAUGAGUAGUGAUCUGCCUG